rnacentral:rRNA from 1 species
UGCCAGCCGCCGCGGUAAUACAGAGGGCCCGAGCGUUAAUCGGAAUCACUGGGCUUAAAGCGUGCGUAGGCGGAUGUGUAGGCAUCUUGUGAAGUCCCUCGGCUCAACCGGGGAAUUGCAAGGUGAACCCCAUAUCUUGAGGCAAGUAGGGGUGGUCGGAACGAUAGGUGGAGCGGUGAAAUGCGUAGAUAUCUAUCGGAACGCCAACGGAGAAGUCAGGCCACUGGGCCUGUCCUGACGCUGAGACACGAAAGCAUGGGUAGCGAACGGGAUUAGAUA